rnacentral:rRNA from 1 species
GAUGAACGCUGGCGGCGUGCUUAACACAUGCAAGUCGAGCGAGUGAGUUCUUCGGAACGAUCUAGCGGCGGACGGGUGAGUAACACGUGGGCAACCUGCCUCAUAGAGGGGAAUAGCCUUCCGAAAGGAAGAUUAAUACCGCAUAACAUCGUUGAAGGGCAUCCUUCGAUGAUCAAAGGAGCAAUCCGCUAUGAGAUGGGCCCGCGGCGCAUUAGCUAGUUGGUGAGGUAACGGCUCACCAAGGCGACGAUGCGUAGCCGACCUGAGAGGGUGAUCGGCCACAUUGGGACUGAGACACGGCCCAGACUCUUACGGGAGGCAGCAGUGGGGAAUAUUGCACAAUGGGGGAAACCCUGAUGCAGCAACGCCGCGUGAGUGAUGACGGCCUUCGGGUUGUAAAGCUCUGUCUUUGGGGACGAUAAUGACGGUACCCAAGGAGGAAGUCACGGCUAACUACGUGCCAGCAGCCGCGGUAACAC